CUAUACAUGCAGUCGAGCGGACAGAUGGGAGCUUGCUCCCUGAUGUUAGCGGCGGACGGGUGAGUAACACGUGGGUAACCUGCCUGUAAGACUGGGAUAACUCCGGGAAACCGGGGCUAAUACCGGAUGGUUGUCUGAACCGCAUGGUUCAGACAUAAAAGGUGGCUUCGGCUACCACUUACAGAUGGACCCGCGGCGCAUUAGCUAGUUGGUGAGGUAACGGCUCACCAAGGCGACGAUGCGUAGCCGACCUGAGAGGGUGAUCGGCCACACUGGGACUGAGACACGGCCCAGACUCCUACGGGAGGCAGCAGUAGGGAAUCUUCCGCAAUGGACGAAAGUCUGACGGAGCAACGCCGCGUGAGUGAUGAAGGUUUUCGGAUCGUAAAGCUCUGUUGUUAGGGAAGAACAAGUGCCGUUCAAAUAGGGCGGCACCUUGACGGUACCUAACCAGAAAGCCACGGCUAACUACGUGCCAGCAGCCGCGGUAAUACGUAGGUGGCAAGCGUUGUCCGGAAUUAUUGGGCGUAAAGGGCUCGCAGGCGGUUUCUUAAGUCUGAUGUGAAAGCCCCCGGCUCAACCGGGGAGGGUCAUUGGAAACUGGGGAACUUGAGUGCAGAAGAGGAGAGUGGAAUUCCACGUGUAGCGGUGAAAUGCGUAGAGAUGUGGAGGAACACCAGUGGCGAAGGCGACUCUCUGGUCUGUAACUGACGCUGAGGAGCGAAAGCGUGGGGAGCGAACAGGAUUAGAUACCCUGGUAGUCCACGCCGUAAACGAUGAGUGCUAAGUGUUAGGGGGUUUCCGCCCCUUAGUGCUGCAGCUAACGCAUUAAGCACUCCGCCUGGGGAGUACGGUCGCAAGACUGAAACUCAAAGGAAUUGACGGGGGCCCGCACAAGCGGUGGAGCAUGUGGUUUAAUUCGAAGCAACGCGAAGAACCUUACCAGGUCUUGACAUCCUCUGACAAUCCUAGAGAUAGGACGUCCCCUUCGGGGGCAGAGUGACAGGUGGUGCAUGGUUGUCGUCAGCUCGUGUCGUGAGAUGUUGGGUUAAGUCCCGCAACGAGCGCAACCNUUGAUCUUAGUUGCCAGCAUUCAGUUGGGCACUCUAAGGUGACUGCCGGUGACAACCGGAGGAAGGUGGGGAUGACGUCAAUCAUCAUGCCCCUUAUGACUUGGGCUACCACGUGCUNAAUGGACAGNACAAAGGCAANGAAAC
rnacentral:rRNA from 1 species